rnacentral:rRNA from 1 species
AGCUUUUGACAUGUCCGGUAUGGUCGUCAGAAAUGACUUCCUUCCCGCAAGGGGCCUGUAUAUAGGUGCUGCAUGGCUGUCGUCAGCUCGUGUCGUGAGAUGUUGGGUUAAGUCCCGCAACGAGCGCAACCCUUAUUACCAGUUGCUACCAUUUAGUUGGGCACUCUAAGGGGACUGCCGGUGAUAAGCCGGAGGAAGGUGGGGAUGACGUCAAGUCCUCAUGGCCCUUACGGCCUGGGCUACACACGUGCUACAAUGGCGGUGACAGAGGGAUGCGAAGGCGCGAGCCUUGGCUAAUCUCAAAAAGCCGUCUCAGUUCGGAUUGGGGUCUGCAACUCGACCCCAUGAAGUUGGAAUCGCUAGUAAUCGUGGAUCAGCACGCCACGGUGAAUACGUUCCCGGGCC